GAUGAACGCUGGCGGCGUGCCUAAUACAUGCAAGUCGAGCGAAUGGAUUGAGAGCUUGCUCUUAUGAAGUUAGCGGCGGACGGGUGAGUAACACGUGGGUAACCUGCCCAUAAGACUGGGAUAACUCCGGGAAACCGGGGCUAAUACCGGAUAACAUUUUGAACCGCAUGGUUCGAAAUUGAAAGGCGGCUUCGGCUGUCACUUAUGGAUGGACCCGCGUCGCAUUAGCUAGUUGGUGAGGUAACGGCUCACCAAGGCAACGAUGCGGAGCCGACCUGAGAGGGUGAUCGGCCACACUGGGACCGAGACACGGCCCAGACUCCUACGGGAGGCAGCAGUAGGGAAUCUUCCGCAAUGGACGAAAGUCUGACGGAGCAACGCCGCGUGAGUGAUGAAGGCUUUCGGGUCGUAAAACUCUGUUGUUAGGGAAGAACAAGUGCUAGUUGAAUAAGCUGGCACCUUGACGGUACCUAACCAGAAAGCCACGGCUAACUACGUGCCAGCAGCCGCCGUAA
rnacentral:rRNA from 1 species